AAGACACUAGUAAAACGUUAUUACACUGCCUUGUCAAGGCAGAUGUGUGGGUUCAAGCCCCGCGUGUCUUG
rnacentral:tRNA from 1 species